AUUGAACGCUGGCGGCAUGCUUUACACAUGCAAGUCGAACGGUAACAGGGUGCUUGCACCGCUGACGAGUGGCGAACGGGUGAGUAAUGCGUCGGAACGUGCCGAGUAGUGGGGGAUAACGCAGCGAAAGUUGUGCUAAUACCGCAUACGUACUGAGGUAGAAAGUGGGGGACCUUCGGGCCUCACGCUAUUCGAGCGGCCGACGUCUGAUUAGCUAGUAGGUGAGGUAAAGGCUCACCUAGGCGACGAUCAGUAGCGGGUCUGAGAGGAUGAUCCGCCACACUGGGACUGAGACACGGCCCAGACUCCUACGGGAGUCAGCAGUGGGGAAUUUUGGACAAUGGGCGAAAGCCUGAUCCAGCCAUGCCGCGUGUCUGAAGAAGGCCUUCGGGUUGUAAAGGACUUUAAGUUGGGAGGAAGGGUUGUAAGCUAAUAUCUUGCAGCUUUGACGUUACCAACAGAAUAAGCACCGGCUAACUCUGUGCCAGCCGCCGCCGUAACAC
rnacentral:rRNA from 1 species